UACGUAGGGUGCGAGCGUUAAUCGGAAUUACUGGGCGUAAAGCGUGCGCAGGCGGUUCGUCGUGUCCGAUGUUAAAGCCCCGGGCUCAACCUGGGAAUGGCAUUGGAAACUGGCGGACUCGAGUGUGGCAGAGGGGGGUGGAAUUCCGCGUGUAGCAGUGAAAUGCGUAGAGAUGCGGAGGAACACCGAUGGCGAAGGCAGCCCCCUGGGCUAACACUGACGCUCAGGCACGAAAGCGUGGGGAGCAAACAGG
rnacentral:rRNA from 1 species